rnacentral:lncRNA from 10 species
AGCUGGUAAAACAUUAUUUCUGGGUAUGUCUGUGAGAGUGUUUCCAGAAGAGAUUAGCAUUUGAAUCAGUAGACUGAGCAAAGAAGAUUCACCCUUACUGCCAAAGCUGUGUCUUCAUACUUCUCUCUUUCCUUCCUACCACCCUGCCGUACCUAGAGAGGGAGAAUGGCAAUGAUGUGAGCAUUUUAUGUUUAAAAACAACAGCAACAACAAACUCAACCCCCCAAAUCCCCUGAGCUUGCUUUCAAUUCCCCUCCCCCUCCUUAUCUCAGAUCUGUGGCAGCAUUAGAUUCUCAUAGGAGCACGAACCCUGUUGUGAACUGCACAUGGGAGGGAUAUAGGUUGCAAGCUUUUUGUGAGAAUCUAACUAAUGCCCGAUGACCUGAGGUGGAACCGUUUCAUCC